GAUGAACGCUAGCGGCAUGCCUAACACAUGCAAGUCGCACGGACGUAGCAAUACGUUAGUGGCGCACGGGAGAGUAACACGUGGGAAUCUACCUUUUAGUUCGGAACAACACCGGGAAACUGGUGCUAAUACCGGAUGCGCCCCGAGGGGGAAAGAUUUAUCGCUAAAAGAGGAGCCCGCGUCUGAUUAGCUAGUUGGUGAGGUAAUGGCUCACCAAGGCGACGAUCAGUAGCUGGUCUGAGAGGACGAUCAGCCUCACUGGGACUGAGACACGGCCCAGACUCCUACGGGAGGCAGCAGUGGGGAAUAUUGGACAAUGGGGGAAACCCUGAUCCAGCAAUGCCGCGUGAGUGAUGAAGGUCUUCGGAUUGUAAAGCUCUUUUGGCAGGGACGAUGAUGACAGUACCUGCAGAAUAAGCUCCGGCUAACUUCGUGCCAGCAGCCGCGGUAA
rnacentral:rRNA from 1 species